GAUGAAGAACGCAGCGAAAUGCGAUAAGUAAUGUGAAUUGCAGAAUUCAGUGAAUCAUCGAAUCUUUGAACGCAUCUUGCGCUCCUUGGUAUUCUGAGGAGCAUGCCUGUUUGAGUGUCAUUAAAUUCUCAACUACACUGACUUUGAAUUGGUGUGGCUUGGAUUUGGGGGGAAAAUUGUUGUGGGUUUUUUGUAUAGUCUGCUCCCCUGAAAUUGAUUAGCGGUACCUUUGUGGAACUGUCUACAGGUGUGAUAAUUAUCUACAUCUUAGACAUCUGCUGGAAUGCUGCUCUCUAAACCUUACUUGUAUUGACAAUCUUGACCUCAAAUCAGGUAGGACUACCCGCUGAACUUAAGCAUAUCAAUAAGCGGAGGA
rnacentral:misc_RNA from 1 species